AUUGAACGCUGGCGGCAGGCCUAACACAUGCAAGUCGAGCGGAUGAAGGGGGCUUGCUCCUGGAUUCAGCGGCGGACGGGUGAGUAAUGCCUAGGAAUCUGCCUGGUGGUGGGGGAUAACGUCCGGAAACGGGCGCUAAUACCGCAUACGUCCUGAGGGAGAAAGUGGGGGAUCUUCGGACCUCACGCUAUCAGAUGAGCCUAGGUCGGAUUAGCUAGUUGGUGGGGUAAAGGCCUACCAAGGCGACGAUCCGUAACUGGUCUGAGAGGAUGAUCAGUCACACUGGAACUGAGACACGGUCCAGACUCCUACGGGAGGCAGCAGUGGGGAAUAUUGGACAAUGGGCGAAAGCCUGAUCCAGCCAUGCCGCGUGUGUGAAGAAGGUCUUCGGAUUGUAAAGCACUUUAAGUUGGGAGGAAGGGCAGUAAGUUAAUACCUUGCUGUUUUGACGUUACCAACAGAAUAAGCACCGGCUGACUUCGUG
rnacentral:rRNA from 1 species